AUGAAAAAGAUCAGAGGUCUGAGAGAGCUUGCUCUGUUGGAGGAACUACAUGUCAUGUAUUAUUACUGGAGCAUGAAUUCCGUGGAAGAGCAUUGGGAAAGGUCUUGGAUAUCAGGAGAGAGCAUUUGGAUAUCUUUCUGGAAGAGAUGGGAUUUCUAUUUUGGGCGGUUGGCACAAAGAGACGUCAGCGGAUGUUGGCAGAAACCAUGUUUCUCUCCAGCUGCUCCAAUGGAAAUCAUCAUGUUACAAAGUCCUGCUGAACUUACAAGUUACAUACAGGAAGAAAUUUGGGAAGACUCUUUCUUUCCAUUUCCAAAGAUGAAUGUUAUUGUCCUCAUUAAGAUAGAAACACUUUUUGGAUCCUAGUCUUCUCCAGAACCUUUCUCCCAUUGGAACACAAGCCUUUUGAAGUUUCCAGAGACCACUGGGAAUCAUGAAGACCUGACUUUCACUCUGGAUUUCACCCAAGCACAACUAAGUUUCUCACGAUAUAUUAUGAAGACUGGAGAAAUAAAGGCUGACGUUGACAUGAUGGGUGCAUAUUAGGUAGACCAACUACUUUCAAAAGUGCUGAUGAUUGCUGGGGAAGAGAGGAUGGGUCUCUGAUGAGGAGUUAUGAGCUCUACCCUUUGGUCUCUCCUCUUCCAUUCUUGUUCUGCCACUGACUCAGUGCAUGGCCUGGGAAAUGUCAUUUUUGCUCUCUUAGCCUUUGGUUCUUCAUAUGAGACAGGGCAGGUAGAAUGUAAAAUAGAACAGCAGUUCUAAAUCUUUUGAUUUAUAAAUCUUGAACUUUUUACAAAUGCUUUGAUUCAUUUUUCUAGAAAAUACUUAUACACACAAAAUUGACCUACCAUUCCAGGGACUCAUGGAUCUUCUGAAGCCAUGAUCAGAAACUCUCAAGGUGAUGAACAUUUAAAUACUCCCCAGCAAGGACGGGGCAGUGUUAGGGAGUCAAAGACAUGACUAUGGAGCUGUGGUGAUUUCACUUUUAUUUCAAGCACCUCUUUUGCAGAAAGUAAUGGGAGCCAGUCCCUGGGAGACAUCUGGAAAGCAUGUCGCCUGACCUCCAGCUGGGUUUGGUUUCAGUCUGUUCCAACUGGUGACCCUGCAGUGCUCUUUCUCUUUCCCAACCCAGACAUUCUCUGUCUCCCUGUCUGAGCUGGGCCCUUCCUGGCCUUUCAGGAAUGGUGUGCCAAAGACAAGGCAACUCCACCCUGAGAAGGGUCUUACAGCACUGCCUUGUAUUACAAGGGCUCCUUCAGUGGACUCUAAGAAAUUCAUUCCCUCCCUUGCCACUGAAUUUGAUUCCCUUUCCAAAGCCCUCUUCAUAGUUUAUGGAAAGGAUUCUUUUUACAGCCACCAACCAAACAGAGUAUGUUGACCAUUCAGGAGUGGAGUCAAGUCAGAGAGAGAAAGCACAGCUAUGCAUACUGGCAUCUUCUGGCUUCCAAGCCAGCUGCAGAACUACAUGAUCAACAUCGCGUGAGGGAGAAAUGGGGUUGAGUAGAAUGCCCUUUCUCAUCUCUGGUCUCACUCGUUUGGGUUUAUACCAGUCCUCUUGUCAUAGAUCGUGAGCAGCAUUUCUUAGAAUCUCUUUUGGCCAUUCUUUUAUCAUUACCUAUAGCUGUGUUGUCCAGUGCAGCAGUCACUAGUCACAUGUGACUAUUUAAAUUUAUUAAAAUUAAAACUUUAGCUCCUCAGUUGCACUAGCCACACUUCAAGUGCUCAAUAGUCACGUAUGGCUAGUGGCUGUUGGACCAGACAGCACACAUCUAGAACAUUCACAUCUUCACAGAAAGUUGUAUCAGACACCAAUUACAUAUAUGCCUUCAGUAAGUAAACACUCCCCGCCAGCACCUGACUGAGAUUUGAAAGUGUAAAAAUGAUUGAGAUGAGAUUCUGCCCUCAAGAGGCUCAUGGGUUGUGGAGGAGGCAGACAUGAAAUUAUAUCGUCAUAAAACUCUGAGCUUCCGAGGGAGACAGGAAGUAGGUAUUCCAGGCAGAGAUAACAGUAGGUACAAAGGCACAGAAGAGUAAAAAUAUGACGUGUUCAGAGAAGGGGACAUUGCUGCCUUCAUGUUCAUGCUGCUACAUGUUCACAUGUAGAUUAUAUGUGUCUCAUGAGUAAACAGGUGGUGAGAGUGAUGACUAACCAAGGUGGGAAAGUAGACUAAGAUCAGGUUUGAUGAAAUCUUGUCUGCCAUGUCCAUUUGGUAGUUGUUUUGUAAAGGAUAAUUUAUCAGAACUUCACCUGUAACUAGUUUUGAUUUCCUAGAAUUUGGUUCCUUAAAAUUAAAUACCCUUUGCCCCAUCUCGUCAGGAUCUUAUGAUAGAAUCUUUUAAAUAAUUUUGAAUCCUGAGCUCCUGUCCUCUCUGUGGCACAUCUUCUUCUUCCAGGCACUGCCCUCAAGUUCACAUCUCUCAUUGCCACAUCCUAUGGUCACUGGAAGAUGUAAUAAUGUACAGAUAUUUGUGUUUAGCUAAGCAAAGAUGUCCCUUAAAUUGACAAUAAGGUUGAUGACCACAAGCAAAAUGAAACAGGGCAAUGCCUCCAAAGAAUCAGUUAGCUAACUGUGACAACAGGAUCAAGGAAAACUGUGGAAGGACAGGUGGAAAAGACACUUGCAGAAUGCUCUUCAGGAGGCAUUCCUGCAGCUCACUGUGGCACACACAUGCACUUUUCUUUCAAACUACAUAAAUCCUCACAACUGAGGUUGAGGUUCGUUUCUGCUUGUCCUAAAUGUAUCUCGAUAACCAGUAAAGAUGCAUACCAUAAAACCGUUCAAGAAACAUUAAUGGAGCAUCUACUAAGUGUCAGACUCUUGCUGCCUUCAAUGAAGACCAACUUCAUGGGUCUGUGAUGACCAUGGGUCAUGAUCCUGACCUCUGGGAUAUUCAUGAUAGAUUUCAAAACCCUUCCAGUGCUAUCUUCUGCAGUCUCAACAUAUCCCUGCUAGGUAGAUAAGACCAAAUUUUUAUCCCUGUUUUUACAGAUUGCAAAAUUAAAGUCCAGGGACACAAAGUCAUAUCCCAGUAUUGCAUUGAACAAGGGAGCUAGAGUCAGCUCCAGUAUUUCCAAUAUAGGCUCUUAGAGGUUUCCUCAGAAGGCAAGUUAAAUAAUUACAGAAAACUCCCCUAAAAUUACUUUUUCCUAAUAUGUUGGGAAAAAACAUCAAAUAUGAGGCAAAAAAUACUAGGAGAUCCUUGAUGAUUGCAUUUGCUUAAAAAUAGAUACAAUACUCUCAGCAGUUCAAAGCUCCAAACACUUGUAAUGAUCAACAAAAGCUGAAAGCUGAUUUCUUUUGAAAAUCAUCAAGAUUAAAGUGGUCAGGUGGCCACAACCAUUCAGAGCCUUCCUGUUACACCAAAGAAAAGAAAGAACUUGAUGAGUUUACAUGCUUUUUUGAAAGCAUUCAUUUUAUUUUAAUGAAAAGAAAUACACAUCUCUCUUUUCUCAUUUCAGUGGAUCAGAAGAGUUUGUGGCAAAAAUCAUACUGGCCAACACUGAGCCAAUGCUGCAAGAGCAGACGCUAAAUAAAGAAAUCUGUUUUGAGCCUUUAUUGAAUUGUAACUGCACACUUGCAAAUAAAUCCCAUUGCAUGUUGUUUUAAUUAAUGUAAAUAAUAAGAUAACAGUUGGUUAUGGUGGCCUAACCAACCAUACAGUUAAGCAUUCAUUUGUUUUCAAUUAUAGUUAAAAUAUAUUCAACUGAAUACAGCUUAAGUGGUAAUUACAUUCUUUACAAGUUCCUAAUAAUCCCUGGAAUGGCC
ensembl:lincRNA